GCCUGCCCAGUGACUACGGGUUCAACGGCCGCGGUAUUUUGACCGUGCAAAGGUAGCGCAAUCACUUGUCUCUUAAAUAGAGACCUGUAUGAAUGGCUAGACGAGGGCUUAACUGUCUCCCCCCUCCAGUCAGUGAAAUUGAUCUAUCCGUGCAGAAGCGGGUAUAACUAUACAAGACGAGAAGACCCUUUGGAGCUUAAGGUACAAAUUCAACCACGUUAAACGACUCCAUAGAAAGCAAGAACUUAGUGGCGAAUGAAAUUUUACCUUCGGUUGGGGCGACCACGGAGGAGAAAGAAGCCUCCGAGUGGACUGGGCUAAACCCUAAAGCCAAGAGAUACAUCUACAAGCCGCAGAACAUCUGACCAAUAAUGAUCCGACUGAAAAGCCGAUCAACGAACCAAGUUACCCUAGGGAUAACAGCGCAAUCCUCUCCCAGAGUCCAUAUCGACGAGGGGGUUUACGACCUCGAUGUUGGAUCAGGACAUCCUAAUGGUGCAGCCGCUAU
rnacentral:rRNA from 1 species